rnacentral:rRNA from 1 species
UGAUCAUUACCGAGUUUACAACUCCCAAACCCAAUUGUGACGUUACCAAACUGUUGCCUCGGCGGGGUCACGCCCCGGGUGCGUCGCAGCCCCGGAACCAGGCGCCCGCCGGAGGAACCAACCAAACUCUUUCUGUAGCCCCUCGCGGACGUAUUUCUUACAGCUCUGAGCAAAAAUUCAAAAUGAAUCAAAACUUUCAACAACGGAUCUCUUGGUUCUGGCAUCGAUGAAGAACGCAGCGAAAUGCGAUAAGUAAUGUGAAUUGCAGAAUUCAGUGAAUCAUCGAAUCUUUGAACGCACAUUGCGCCCGCCAGUAUUCUGGCGGGCAUGCCUGUCCGAGCGUCAUUUCAACCCUCGAACCCCUCCGGGGGAUCGGCGUUGGGGAUCGGGACCCCUCACACGGGUGCCGGCCCCUAAAUACAGUGGCGGUCUCGCCGCAGCCUCUCCUGCGCAGUAGUUUGCACAACUCGCACCGGGAGCGCGGCGCGCCACGUCCGUAAAACACCCAACUUUCUGAAAUGUUGACCUCGGAUCAGGUAGGAAUACCCGCUGAACUUAAGCAUAUCAAUAAGCGGAG